rnacentral:rRNA from 1 species
CACGUAGGGCGCAAGCGUUGUCCGGAAUUAUUGGGCGUAAAGAGCGUGUAGGCGGCCCGGUAAGUCCGCUGUAAAAGUCAAAGGCUCAACCUUUGAAUGUCAGUGGAUACUGCCGGGCUAGAGUCCGGAAGAGGCGAGUGGAACUCCUGGUGUAGCGGUGGAAUGCGCAGAUAUCAGGAAGAACACCGAUGGCGAAGGCAGGUCUCUGGGCAUUAACUGACGCUGAGGAGCGAAAGCAUGGGGAGCGAACAGG